rnacentral:rRNA from 1 species
AAUAUUGGACAAUGGGCGAACGCCUGAUCCAGCCAUGCCGCGUGCGUGAAGAAGGUCUUCGGAUUGUAAAGCACUUUAAGUCGGGAGGAAGAGUUGUUUGCUAUUACCUUGCAACUUGCACGGUACCAUCCGUAUAAGCACCGGCUAAAUUUGCGCCAGGAGCCGCGGUAAUACGAUGGGUGCAAGCGUUAAUAGGAAUUACUGGGCGUAAAGCGCGCGUAGGUGGUUCGUUAAGUUAGAAGUGAAAGCCCCGAGCUUAACCUGGGAAUUGCUUUCAAAACUGACGAGCUAGAGUACGGUAGAGGGUAGUGGAAUUUCCUGUGUAGCGGUGAAAUGCGUAGAUAUAGGAAGGAACAUCAGUGGCGAAGGCGACUACCUGGACUGAUACUGACACUGAGGUGCGAAAGCGUGGGGAGCAAACAGG